GACGAACGGCUGGCGGCGUGGAUUAGGCAUGCAAGUCGAACGGUAACAGGUCUUCGGAUGCUGACGAGUGGCGAACGGGUGAGUAAUACAUCGGAACGUGCCCGAUCGUGGGGGAUAACGGAGCGAAAGCUUUGCUAAUACCGCAUACGAUCUACGGAUGAAAGCAGGGGACCGCAAGGCCUUGCGCGGACGGAGCGGCCGAUGGCAGAUUAGGUAGUUGGUGGGAUAAAAGCUUACCAAGCCGACGAUCUGUAGCUGGUCUGAGAGGACGACCAGCCACACUGGGACUGAGACACGGCCCAGACUCCUACGGGAGGCAGCAGUGGGGAAUUUUGGACAAUGGGCGCAAGCCUGAUCCAGCCAUGCCGCGUGCAGGAUGAAGGCCUUCGGGUUGUAAACUGCUUUUGUACGGAACGAAAAGACUCUUUCUAAUAAAGAGGGUCCAUGACGGUACCGUAAGAAUAAGCACCGGCUAACUACGUG
rnacentral:rRNA from 1 species